rnacentral:rRNA from 1 species
AUUGAACGCUGGCGGCAGGCUUAACACAUGCAAGUCGAACGGUAACAUAAAGAAGCUUGCUUCUUUGAUGACGAGUGGCGGACGGGUGAGUAAUGCUUGGGAAUCUAGCUUAUGGAGGGGGAUAACUACGGGAAACUGUAGCUAAUACCGCGUAGAAUCGGGAGAUGAAAGUGUGGGACCUUCGGGCCACAUGCCAUAGGAUGAGCCCAAGUGGGAUUAGGUAGUUGGUGAGGUAAAGGCUCACCAAGCCGACGAUCUCUAGCUGGUCUGAGAGGAUGACCAGCCACACUGGGACUGAGACACGGCCCAGACUCCUACGGGAGGCAGCAGUGGGGAAUAUUGCGCAAUGGGGGCAACCCUGACGCAGCCAUGCCGCGUGAAUGAAGAAGGCCUUCGGGUUGUAAAGUUCUUUCGGUAGCGAGGAAGGCAUUUAGUUUAAUAAACUGGAUGAUUGACGUUAACUACAGAAGAAGCACCGGCUAACUCCGUGCCAGCAGCCGCGGUAAUACGGAGGGUGCGAGCGUUAAUCGGAAUAACUGGGCGUAAAGGGCACGCAGGCGGUGACUUAAGUGAGGUGUGAAAAGCCCCGGGGCUUAACCUGGGAAAUUGCAUUUCAUACUGGGUCGCUAGAGUACUUUAGGGAGGGGUAGAAUUCCACGUGUAGCGGUGAAGUGCGUAGAGAUGUGUAGGAAUACCCAAAGCUAGGCCUCUCCCUUGGUAAUGUACUAACCUUCACGUGCAAAACUCGGCGGAGCAAACAAGGAUAAGUUCCCUGGGAGGCUCCAGGGGGAUA